ACGCUGGCGGCGUGCCUAAUACAUGCAAGUAGAACGCUGAAGGAGGAGCUUGCUCUUCUGGAUGAGUUGCGAACGGGUGAGUAACGCGUAGGUAACCUGCCUGGUAGCGGGGGAUAACUAUUGGAAACGAUAGCUAAUACCGCAUAAGAGUAGAUGUUGCAUGACAUUUGCUUAAAAGGUGCAAUUGCAUCACUACCAGAUGGACCUGCGUUGUAUUAGCUAGUUGGUGGGGUAACGGCUCACCAAGGCGACGAUACAUAGCCGACCUGAGAGGGUGAUCGGCCACACUGGGACUGAGACACGGCCUAGACUCCUACGGGAGGCAGCAGUAGGGAAUCUUCGGCAAUGGACGGAAGUCUGACCGAGCAACGCCGCGUGAGUGAAGAAGGUUUUCGGAUCGUAAAGCUCUGUUGUAAGAGAAGAACGAGUGUGAGAGUGGAAAGUUCACACUGUGACGGUAUCUUACCAGAAAGGGACGGCUAACUACGUGCCAGCAGCCGCGGUAAUACGUAGGUCCCGAGCGUUGUCCGGAUUUACUGGGCGUAAAGCGAGCGCGGGCGGUUAGAUAAGUCUGAAGUUAAAGGCUGUGGCUUAACCAUAGUACGCUUUGGAAACUGCUUAACUUGAGUGCAAGAGGGGAGAGUGGAAUUCCAUGUGUAGCGGUGAAAUGCGUAGAUAUAUGGAGGAACACCGGUGGCGAAAGCGGCUCUCUGGCUUGUAACUGACGCUGAGGCUCGAAAGCGUGGGGAGCAAACAGGAUUAGAUACCCUGGUAGUCCACGCCGUAAACGAUGAGUGCUAGGUGUUAGACCCUUUCCGGGGUUUAGUGCCGUAGCUAACGCAUUAAGCACUCCGCCUGGGGAGUACGACCGCAAGGUUGAAACUCAAAGGAAUUGACGGGGGCCCGC
rnacentral:rRNA from 1 species